GUGGGGAAUAUUGGGCAAUGGGGGCAACCCUGACCCAGCGACGCCGCGUGAGGGAAGAAGGCCUUAGGGUCGUAAACCUCUGUUGUGUGGGAAGAAGGAAGUGACGGUACCACACGAGGAAGUCCCGGCUAACUACGUGCCAGCAGCCGCGGUAAUACGUAGGGGACGAGCGUUGUCCGGAAUUACGGGGCGUAAAGGGCGCGUAGGCGGCCAUUUAAGUCAGCUGUGAAAUGGUCCGGCUCAACCGGAUCAUGCGGUUGAAACUGGAUGACUGGAGUGCUGGAGAGGCAAGUGGAAUUCCCAGUGUAGCGGUGAAAUGCGUAGAUAUUGGGAAGAACACCGGUGGCGAAGGCGACUUGCUGGCCAGCAACUGACGCUGAGGCGCGAAAGCCAGGGGAGCAAACGGGAUUAGAAACCCCGGUAGUCC
rnacentral:rRNA from 1 species